rnacentral:rRNA from 1 species
GACAGAGGUGCCGAGCGUUAGGCGGAAUCACUGGGCUUAAAGCGUGUGUAGGCGGAUUUGUAAGUACCUUGUGAAAUCCCACGGCUCAACCGUGGAACUGCUUGGUAUACUGCUUAUCUUGAGCCACUUAGGGGCAGUCGGAACAGACGGUGGAGCGGUGAAAUGCGUAGAUAUCGUCUGGAACGCCAAAGGUGAAACCAGACUGCUGGGAGUGUGCUGACGCUGAGACACGAAAGCCAGGGGAGCAAACGGG